rnacentral:rRNA from 1 species
UGGGGAAUAUUGCGCAAUGGGCGAAAGCCUGACGCAGCCACGCCGCGUGAGUGACGAAGGCCUUCGGGUUGUAAAGCUCUGUCGCGAGUCAAGUAAACCGUUGGGUUAAUAACCCAGCGGGCUGACGGUAGCUCGCAAGAAAGCACCGGCUAACUCCGUGCCAGCAGCCGCGGUAAUACGGAGGGUGCAAGCGUUGUUCGGAAUCACUGGGCGUAAAGCGUGUGUAGGCGGCUUUGUAAGUCGGAUGUGAAAGCCCUGGGCUUAACCCAGGAAUUGCAUUCGAUACUGCUAAGCUUGAGUAUGGGAGAGGGAAGCGGAAUUCCUGGUGUAGCGGUGAAAUGCGUAGAUAUCAGGAGGAACACCCGUGGCGAAAGCGGCUUCCUGGCCCAUAACUGACGCUGAGACACGAAAGCAUGGGGAGCAAACAGG